GAUGAAGAACGUAGCGAAAUGCGAUAAGUAAUGUGAAUUGCAGAAUUCAGUGAAUCAUCGAAUCUUUGAACGCACCUUGCACCCUUUGGCAUUCCGAAGGGUAUGCUCGUUUGAGUGUCAUUGUACUCUCACUCUCCCGAUGCUUUUGGAUCGGGAGUGGUGGACUUGGGUGUUGCUGCUUUGCUGUGGCUCGCCUCAAAUGGAGUAGUGCAACUCUUGGUUGGACAUAGUACGGCGUGAUAAGUGUCUUCGCCGGCGCCUCAUUUAGAGGGUGGCCGAUCGGGAGCUCUGUGCUUCAAACCGUCUUCGGACAACAUCUGACAACUUGACCUCAAAUCGAGUAGGACUACCCGCUGAACUUAAGCAUAUCAAUAAGCGGAGGA
rnacentral:misc_RNA from 1 species